AACGCACAUUGCGCCCCUUGGUAUUCCGAGGGGCAUGCCUGUUCGAGCGUCAUUUCAACCCUCAAGCGUAGCUUGGUCUUGGGCUCUGCCGGGCUUCCCGGCUGGCCUUAAAAGCAGUGGCGGUGCCGUUGGGCUCUACGCGUAGUAACUAAACCCUCGCGUGUGACCCCUAACGAGCGCUGGCCAGCAACCCUCAACUUCUACAGUUGACCUCGAAUCAGGUAGGGAUACCCGCUGAACUUAA
rnacentral:misc_RNA from 1 species